rnacentral:lncRNA from 1 species
UGUGACCCACAAAGAUCAAGGAAUCUAAGCCAGCCAAGGUUAAGCAUGAAUCGAGGAAAGGAAACAGAAAUCCUCUCCCUAGUCCUCUUUCCUCUCUUUUCUCCCCUAGGUACCAGGAGUGUGACAGAGUGGGACAGCUCAGGCAGCUGCAGGUCCUGGCCAGCGCUCUUCCUCACCCAGGCCAUGCAGCAUCAACACAGAACCCCUCUUAAGACAAGCAAAGGAAGUUUCCAACCCAGUUGAGUGCACUUUUCCCAAGUGUGUGGUAAAAAGUUAAAUGACC